GAUGAACGCUGGCGGCGUGCUUAACACAUGCAAGUCGAACGAUGAAGCCCAGCUUGCUGGGUGGAUUAGUGGCGAACAGGUGAGUAACACGUGAGUAACCUGCCCUUAACUCUGGGAUAAGCCUGGGAAACUGGGUCUAAUACCGGAUAGGAGCGUCCACCGCAUGGUGGGGGUUGGAAAGAUUUAUCGGUUUUGGAUGGACUCGCGGCCUAUCAGCUUGUUGGUGAGGUAAUGGCUCACCAAGGCGACGACGGGUAGCCGGCCUGAGAGGGUGACCGGCCACACUGGGACUGAGACACGGCCCAGACUCCUACGGGAGGCAGCAGUGGGGAAUAUUGCACAAUGGGCGCAAGCCUGAUGCAGCGACGCCGCGUGAGGGAUGACGGCCUUCGGGUUGUAAACCUCUUUCAGUAGGGAAGAAGCGAAAGUGACGGUACCUGCAGAAGAAGCACCGGCUAACUACGUG
rnacentral:rRNA from 1 species